AGGACGUCCCAUGUGGCAACGGGCAUUGAUGUGCUGCCACAUGGGAAGCCACGCGGACAAUCCGCGUGCUCGCGAUCGAACGGCCCAGGUCCAUUCCCGCGUGCACGGACGGCCUGGAUGCGCUCCCUCCCAAACGUGAUCGAACGAUCAUAUUCAAAUGCGAUCGGACGGUCCAGAGUGAAUCGCGAUGGAUGAUCCAAAUUCACCUCCUAUUUAAUCACGAUCGAACGGUCCAGAUCAAACGUGAUGGACGAUCCAGAUCAAAAGUGGACAUAUAUAAAUAACCCCUAUCCACAUUAAAUCCUAACCCUAGCCGCCAGACCCCAUCGCCGGAGAAGACGAUGUAGCCACCGGGGAGCAGAUCGUCACCACCCGCUGCCGCACUGGAACCCUUUCUGAUCGCCAAAAAAGAUAAAAACUUCUCCUUUUGUACAAAAUUUCUUUAAGCUCAUCCAUUGCUAAAUCGGAGCAAAAAGACCGGCUAAUUGGCUGAAAAAUGCCGGCGAAACCCGGUGCUGCUGCCGCGAGAAAUUUCACAAAACGCUUCCGAUGAGGCCCUUUCCGAUUCUCAUUUUGUGUAAUUUCUCUACAAUUGUGAU
rnacentral:lncRNA from 1 species